AUUUGAGUGUCAUCAGACAUCAUGUGCUAGAAGAUAUUCUUCUUUUGUGUCCUUAGUGAGCAUGCAUCUCUAUUCUCAUUUCAGGGAGAAGCUAGCUGGGUGACUUGGCUGUCAUGUGCUGUGAGACUGAUCACCUUACCAGAGGAAAUGCUUUUAGCUUUUCACAGUUGAGAAAGAUGUUAGCUGUAGG